rnacentral:rRNA from 1 species
UACGUAGGGUGCGAGCGUUGUCCGGAAUUAUUGGGCGUAAAGAGCUCGUAGGCGGUCUGUCGCGUCGGUCGUGAAAAACUUGGGGGCUCAACCCCGAGCCUGCUUUCGAUACGGGCGGACUAGAGGUAGGUAGGGGAGAACGGAAUUCCUGGUGUAGCGGUGGAAUGCGCAGAUAUCAGGAGGAACACCGGUGGCGAAGGCGGGUCUCUGGGCCGAUAUCGACGCUGAGGAGCGAAAGCGUGGGGAGCGAACAGG